GGAGGUAUAGCUUAGCGGCAUAAGCUCCUGCCUUACAGGCAGGCAGUUGUGAGUUCAAUCCCCAGUACCGAUA
rnacentral:tRNA from 1 species